CAGUGUUAUUUACCUCUGAGGUCAUUAUGUUUUCGUAACAAUCUGAGACUUACAGCUGACUUGGAUUAUGAAAAUUUUGCACUUAAAAUUUAGUUUAUUAAAAGCUCAUAAAGAAGCAUGAUUAAAUUGCAAAAUUUUAUCAUCACGCUUCUUCUGGCUGCAGUCGUUGUUGCAUUUCAAGAGGAGUCAAUAUUCGAAGAUGAAGAUAUUUACAAUCAAGCAUUACCAUCAGUUCCCUUCACCGGUAUAACCGUACCAGGUACAAAAUGGUGCGGACCUGGAAAUACUGCAGCCAAUUAUAAUGAUUUAGGAACUCAACGUGAGUCUGACACAUGCUGUAGGCAGCAUGAUCAUUGUGAAGAAAUACUGGAGUCAAGACAAACUUUACAUGGACUUAAUAACACCGAUUUAUUUCCUAUCAUGAAAUGUACUUGUGAACAAACUUUCUUGAACUGCCUACAAUCUAUUAAUGAUAUGGUCGCAAAUACAUUGGGACGUGUCUACUUUGGUACUCGCAAUAAAUGUUUCGCUAAUGGAUAUCCAAUAGUAAGUUGCAAAGAGUAUCAAAAAGGAACUUUUAGGCAGCGUUGCAUACGUUACCAAGUGGAUAAAACACGGCCAAAAAUUUGGCAGUUCUAUGAUAUACCAUUUUAUAGCUAUAAACGAUAGCCUUUGUUUUGAACAUAUGAAUUUUAAAUUAAAUUAAUGAAUGCAUAAAGAAAUAAAGGAUGUUUACUCAGUAUUAAAGUUCGCUAUAAUUUAGACGUACACACUUACACAAAAUACUCAACUUUGGCAUAUAGUACAUAUUAUCAUCUGAGGCAUCGCUACAAUAUCAACACAUAUUCAGAUUGGAUCAUUGUAGCUUAAGGAGCUAUUCAAACUGACCGAUCAUUAUCAUAAUAAAGACAAGAAAGCCGACAUUCGCAGUCGAAGUUAACAUUUAGUAUUGUUUGUUAUCUAUGCAUAUACUU